GUUGUUGUAUAAGUCACCAAGUGUAUAAUACUUGUUAUAGAGGACUGGGUAGACGAAUCCCUAAACCAGAAGACAAUUGAUAGUAUGGCGUUGUAUGGGGUACACCAGAGUUCCACGUGGCUCCCCUUCAUGGCUAUGAUCUUUUCCCAACUUUUUGUUCUUGUAACAAAUAGUGCUGACAUCAAUAUUCUUAUCACCCAUGCGUGUGCCCAAAUGCUCCCCACGCCCCCUUGUUGCCAAGGGACUUUCCCUGUGGUAUAUGCAAAGGUCCAUUUUGGUUACUCAUUACGCGGGCAAGUUGAUGAAUCAUUUCUUCGAUGGAUUCUGGACUUUGCUUUAUGCUUUCGGGAGACCUCCACUCCAGCAUCGUAGAAUGAGAGGCGUCCCUCCACGCUUUCUACCAGUACUUUCAUGGUUUCAGUUUUUCGGUCCCGGCCCACCCUACCCCCGCAGAUGUCCUGUCCAUCUAGGACGCCGAGAAGCACCGCUGUCGCUCUGAGAAAGAAGGGGUUGUGGGGCUGCCCAGACGGGUCGACCAGCACACGCCGCUCGCCGCCUGUUGGCUCGCGGGAAGCGACCGCGACCGCGACCGCGGCGGCCCACUGUACAGGUGCUGCAUACAAUCAAGAAGCCAAACCCACAAGCUUGAAACAGGCUCUGGGGCUCAACUUACAACUGGCCUGCUGGGACAAAGACUACACCAGACCAGUCAGAGCGACAGUGGACCCCAGCACCUACCUUUCCCUGACUUUUCCCCUCAUAAGGCUAAAAAUCACACCCAGGGGCAGAGAGUUAUCACACAAAUAAAACAUACCACGUAUGAAAAAGCAUGUUCUGUCAACUGCACCUGCACACCCAACUUCCUAUAUUUCUCCACCCUUACAGGGUUAGAUGUCACUCCUUUCCUGCCUUCUACCCUUCGAAAACCUUCCCUGGGGGC